AGAGUUUGAUCCUGGCUCAGGACGAACGCUGGCGGCGUGCCUAAUACAUGCAAGUCGAGCGGAUGACAGAGGAGCUUGCUCCUCUCGAUUCAGCGGCGGACGGGUGAGUAACACGUGGGCAACCUGCCCUGUAGAUUGGGAUAACUCCGGGAAACCGGGGCUAAUACCGAAUAAUCCUUCGGACCUCAUGGUCCGAUGUUGAAAGGCGGCUUCGGCUGUCACUACAGGAUGGGCCCGCGGCGCAUUAGCUAGUUGGUGAGGUAACGGCUCACCAAGGCCACGAUGCGUAGCCGACCUGAGAGGGUGAUCGGCCACACUGGGACUGAGACACGGCCCAGACUCCUACGGGAGGCAGCAGUAGGGAAUCUUCCACAAUGGACGAAAGUCUGAUGGAGCAACGCCGCGUGAGUGAAGAAGGUUCUCGGAUCGUAAAACUCUGUUGUGAGGGAAGAACAAGUACCGGAGUAACUGCCGGUACCUUGACGGUACCUCAUUAGAAAGCCACGGCUAACUACGUGCCAGCAGCCGCGGUAA
rnacentral:rRNA from 1 species